rnacentral:rRNA from 1 species
UACGUAGGGUGCAAGCGUUAAUCGGAAUUACUGGGCGUAAAGCGUGCGCAGGCGGCUUUGUAAGUUUGGCGUGAAAUCCCCGGGCUCAACCUGGGAAUGGCGAUGAAGACUGCAAGGCUAGAAUCUGGCAGAGGGGGGUAGAAUUCCACGUGUAGCAGUGAAAUGCGUAGAGAUGUGGAGGAACACCGAUGGCGAAGGCAGCCCCCUGGGUCAAGAUUGACGCUCAUGCACGAAAGCGUGGGGAGCAAACAGG